UACGUAGGUGACCAGCGUUGUCCGGAUUUACUGGGCGUAAAGAGCGCGCAGGCGGUCGUUCAAGUCGAGUGUGAAAGCCCCCGGCUCAACUGGGGAGGGUCACUCGAUACUGAUCGACUUGAAGGCAGGAGAGGGAAGCGGAAUUCCCGGUGUAGUGGUGAAAUGCGCAGAUAUCGGGAGGAACACCGGUGGCGAAGGCGGUUCUCUGGGCCUUACCUGACGCUGAGGAGCGAAAGCAUGGGGAGCAAACAGG
rnacentral:rRNA from 1 species